rnacentral:tRNA from 1 species
GGCUCAAUGGUCUAGUGGUAUGAUUCGCGCUUCGGGUGGAAAACCCACCGCCUGUAGUAAACAGGCAAGAAGAUGUGCGAGGUCUCGGGUUCGAUCCCCGAUUGAGCCC